CAGUCGCCGCGGGAAUACGAAGGGUGCAAGCGUUAUCCGGAUUCACUGGGUUUAAAGGGUGCGUAGGCGGGCAGGUAAGUCAGUGGUGAAAUCUUCGAGCUUAACUCGGAAACUGCCGUUGAUACUAUCUGUCUUGAAUAACGUUGAGGUGAGCGGAAUAUGUCAUGUAGCGGUGAAAUGCUUAGAUAUGACAUAGAACACCGAUUGCGAAGGCAGCUCACUAAACGCUCAUUGACGCUGAGGCACGAAAGCGUGGGGAUCAAACAGGAUUAGAGACCCCCGUAGUCCCUGUCUCUUAUAC
rnacentral:rRNA from 1 species